rnacentral:rRNA from 1 species
GACGAACGCUGGCGGCGUGCUUAACACAUGCAAGUCGAACGGAAAGGCCCUGCUUGCAGGGUACUCGAGUGGCGAACGGGUGAGUAACACGUGGGUGAUCUGCCCUGCACUUCGGGAUAAGCCUGGGAAACUGGGUCUAAUACCGGAUAGGAGCCAUUUUUAGUGUGAUGGUUGGAAAGUUUUUUCGGUGUAGGAUGAGCUCGCGGCCUAUCAGCUUGUUGGUGGGGUAAUGGCCUACCAAGGCGGCGACGGGUAGCCGGCCUGGGAGGGUGGACGGCCAAAUUGGGGCUGAGAUACGGCCCAGACUCCUACGGGAGGCAGCAGGGGGGAAUAUUGGACAAUGGGCGCAAGCCUGAUGCAGCGACGCCGCGUGGGGGAUGACGGCCUUCGGGUUGGAAACUCCUUUCGCUAGGGACGAAGCUUUUUGUGACGGUACCUAGAUAAGAAGCACCGGCUAACUACGUG